GACGAACGCUGGCGGCGUGCUUAACACAUGCAAGUCGAACGGAAAGGCCCUGCUUUUGUGGGGUGCUCGAGUGGCGAACGGGUGAGUAACACGUGAGUAACCUGCCCUUGACUUUGGGAUAACUUCAGGAAACUGGGGCUAAUACCGGAUAGGAGCUCCUGCUGCAUGGUGGGGGUUGGAAAGUUUCGGCGGCUGGGGAUGGACUCGCGGCUUAUCAGCUUGUUGGUGGGGUAGUGGCCUACCAAGGCUUUGACGGGUAGCCGGCCUGAGAGGGUGACCGGCGACAUGGGGCCUGAGGGACGGCCCAGUCUGCAACGGGGGGCAGCGGUGGGGAAUAUUGUACAAUGGUCGGAAGCCUGAUGCAGCAGCGCCGCGUGCGGGAAGACGGCCUUCGAGUUGUAAACCGCUUUCGCCUGUGACGAAGCGUGAGUGACGGUAAUGGGUAAAGAAGCACCGGCUAACUACGUG
rnacentral:rRNA from 1 species